UACAGAAGGGGAUCUAAAACCAUGUGUGGAUUGUAUUGGUUGCAGGAGUUGAACAAGUGUAUGUUCAUGUACAUAAAACCAAUUCAGUUGCUCAGGAGUUAUACCAGAAGACCGGUUUCGAGAUCGUCGAAACUGGUAAACUUGAAUCAUUAGAUGAUACAUACUUGCUCCAGUACACAAGAUAACACACAAGCAACAAUCUUGGUUCUCUCUGCCUUUCCUCGAUUGUUUUUGUUUUUGAGAAUGGGAGAGAAGAAUCAAGACACAAAAGAGUGAUUACUGAUUAUAUGGCUCACUUGUUAUUGCAUUUGUUUGUUAUGUAAAAGUACAGUGAAAUGUCUUGAAGACUGUUCUGUAAAGUAUAGUGAAGUGUGUGUAUCAAUCUUUAAUUUCCAUGUACAAAAUGUGCGUGCUUUGCGAAAAAGUAUAUAUAUGGUUUUGGAUU